rnacentral:lncRNA from 1 species
CCAGGUUGUUGAGGUAUUAACCUCUUAAAACAUUUUACAAUUUUGGAUAAACAUUAAUUCAUGGAUUUUUGAAUGCUAGCAAAUAAUUGUGGUAGCAAAUCCCUUGCCGGAGUCAAGGUAACUAUGUUGAUCUUUCUUUCCUUCCCUUCUCCAAUCCGAGGGUCGUUGAUCUUGCGGGAUAGUUGCUGGAAUCCAUGAC